rnacentral:tRNA from 1 species
GGGCUUGUAGCUCAAUGUGUAGAGCAACCUGUAGUCCCUCUUGUUGACUGCAGUGUGUCUUUGUGGGUUCAAAUCCCACCAAGCCCA